UUGGUUAGGGAGGGGUGCGGGGGUGGUUCUGGCCUCCUGGCGUGCCCCAAAGCUGGGUGGUGUAUGCCUGGGUUAGGUUUAGUCUGUGUGUGAGUCCUGGCUCUGUUUGUAAAGGCUGAAAACAGCCUUUGAGUGUAUAGGGGUUUUCAGGGUUUGGUCCUGGCAUCUGGGUGCAGAUCUUAUCCCUGGGUGUGGUGGGGCAGAGGAGCGGGUACCUGCGUCUCUGCCUCUGCCUGCCUGUUGCUGGUGCCCGUGGCCUCCCUUCAGUUCUGGGAACUGCACUUUUUUCUGUCUUUCUUCGUUUGUCACUGGUGUUUCUUUCUACUUGGAUUUUUAAUAUCACUGCAGCACUUCUUGUUCUUCCUUUCCUCUUCCCAGAGCUGGAAGGAGGGCUGUGUUGGCACUUAAAUUGGUCCCCUCAUUUGGGAGGGGUCUGACUGCACCCUGUGUUGCUUGUUUGGGGGUGGGUAUGCGCUGCCUCUGGAGUCCUGGGUUGGAGGUGGUGGUGGUGGAGGGGUUCUGCUUUGUAAUGUGAGAUGUGAUUUGUGUUCCAUGUCGUAAUUGCUUGUUGUUUUGGGGGUGAUGCCAUUGUUUGGACUUGAGCGGACAGGAGCUGUGGUAGAGAAGAAGAGACGUAGAUCCGCCACCAUGUAGAAGGAGGUGGAGGAAGCGGACGGCUGUGCACCUGUGGUCAUUUUUGGGUCACCAGGGGUGAGGCCUCAGUCUGUUGGCUGGAGCUGCUUGCAUGGGCAGAGCCUCUGGCGGGAGGUUCCUGCACCCUGUGAGAGGAGAGGAAGUGAAGCGGGGACAAGUGAGGACUGAAGAAGGAGUAGCAUAACACCUGGCGUGGGUUCUGGCCUGCGUGGAGGGAAAUGUACAGUGGCUCAGCGAGUGGAGCGGAGCUGUGCCCACAGAGGGUGAAGCGGGAGGAACAGGAUGCUGCACCGUGUGUUGGUGUUGGAUGGGCAGAUCCUGAAGUUGGAUGUCUGCCUUCUGUAUGGGGAAGGCCUGGCAAGCAAGGCUGCACAGGGGCUGAAGGAGCACUGUGAUGCCAGGUGUGGGUCCUGGUGU